CCCCAAGUGAGUAGCUCAUUUAACAGACAGAGUAGGACCUGCCAAAGAUGGGUACAUUGGCGUUGUGGCAGGCUUAUGCAAUGUAUGAUCAUAUAAUGUAACUAAACCCCCAUUGUUUUUUUGCCUAGAUUAGGUGUUUUUAAUAAAACAAAAUUGUUCAACACUAAAAUAACUGUUUAGUAGAUAAGUGAGUGCGCUGGAUUUUCAUUUUUACUGUACUUAUUGGCUCCCAGCAGCACCCCAUUUAAG